CUCUCAAUUCUAUUCAGUGGAUCUAUUUGUAUACCUGUAGACCAGUACCAUACCAUCUUGAUGACUGAAACUUUGUAUUAAGUUUUGAAGUUGAAAAUUAUGAAUCUUCCAACUCUGUCUUUUUGAAGAUUAUUUUGGCUCUUCUUGAUUUCCAUGUGUGUUUUAGGAUCAGUUUGUCCAUUUCCGCAAAGAAACCAGCUGAAUUUUUAUUAGGAUUGAGUUGAAUCUGUAGAGCAAUAUGGUGAGUACUGUCAUCUUAAUAUUAAGUAUUUACCGUCCAUGAACAGGGUAGGUGUUUUCAUUUGUUGGAAUCUUAGGAAAUUUCUUUCAACAACAUUUUGUAGUUUUCAGCAUAUAUCUUACACCUCUUUUAUUAAAUUUAUCCCUGAGUAUUUUAUUCUUUUUGAUGCUAUUGUAAAUAGAAUAGUUUUUCUUAAUUUUAUUGUUGCAAUGUUCAUUUCUAAAGUAUAAAAAUAUGAUUGAUUUUUGCAUAUUGAACUUGUGCCCUGCAAACUUACUGAACUCAUUUAUUUGCUCUAAUAGUUUUUAAUUUAAUUCCUUUGGAUUUUUUGAUAUAUGCAAGAGCAUGUCAUCUGUUUUAGUCCUUCUGUUCCAAUCUGGGUGACUUAUUUUCUUGUGUAAUUGCCCUGGCUAGAACCUCCAGUACAAUGUUAAAGAGAUGUGGUGAUAGCAGACAUCCUGAUCUUUUGUUCCUGAUCUUAAACAGGAAGACAUGCAGAGAGAGAGGAGAGAGAAGGAAAGGCAGAAAUUCGAUGGGUUGCAUCCUGCAUGCACCCUGACCACGGCCCUGGGUCGGAGAGGAGCCUGCAACUGAGCUUUCUGGAAUGCAAAUAUGAGGGCUGGAACUCCAGGAGACAUUUGGGCCAUGAAGAAAACUUGAAGAUAAAAGCUGCAUGUUAAAGAUAGUGGAUCAAAAAGAUUGAAAGAGCUUGGUUAUCUGAUGAUGGCAGAGCUGGCUCACCAGCCCAGGGCUGCCUACCUCUGAGCUUCCUUUACAUAGAAAAUAAAACUUGUAUCUUGUUUGAUCUGAUUAUUUGAAUUUUUCAUUCUAUAUGCCACUAGAAAAUAAUCCUAACUAAUGAAUAGUGUGUCACUGUUUAGAAAAGAGGCUCUGGGAUUGACAAAACUGAAGUUGAGAACCUACUCUGCAAUUAAUUAGCUGAGUGACCUUGGGCAUGUUAGUUAGCCUUUCUAGUCUGAGGUCAUCAUCUGUAAAAUGGGAAUAAUGGGUGGUACCUACGUCGUAGGGUUGUUGUGAAGAUUAAAUGAAAUAUUACAUGCAGAAUGCUUAGUGCAAUGCCUGGCACAGACUAACAAUCAGCAAAUGUCAGUAAUAAAUAAUCUAAGGCAAAGAAGAAAUCAGUGGUCUCCAACCUAAACUAAGACUGUGGCUCUUCUUGUUAAUCUUUCUAUGUAUCUUUUGUCAUCUAUCUCUCCCAUUCCUCAAUUUUCAACAUACUCUUUCCAAGCCUGUG